rnacentral:rRNA from 1 species
GCGGUAAUUCCAGCUCCAAUAGCGUAUAUUUAAGUUGUUGCAGUUAAAAAGCUCGUAGUUGGAUUUCGGGUGGGUACUGCGGUCCGCCUCGUGUGAGUACUGCAGUGCCCAUCUAUUCUGGCGGGGACGGGCUCCUGGGCUUAACUGUCUGGGACUCGGAGUCGCCGACGUCACUUUGAGCAAAUUGGAGUGUUCAAAGCAAGCUUACGCUCUGAACAUAUUAGCAUGGAAUGACACGAUAGGACUCUGGCCUAUCUUGUUGGUCUGUAGGACCGGAGUAAGAUUAAGAGGGACAGUCGGGGGCAUCGUAUUUCAUUGUCAGAGGUGAAAUCUUGGAUUAGAAAGAGAACUAUGCGAAAGCAAUUGCCAAGGAGUUUUCAAUAACAGAAGAAGUUGGGGGCUCGAAGACGAUUAGAUACCGUCGUAGUCUCAACCAUAAACGUGCCGACUAGGGUUGGCAGAUGUUUCAUUGUGACUCUGCCAGCACCUUAUGAGAAUCAAAGUUUUUGGGUUCCGGGGGGAGUAUGGUCGCAAGGCUGAAACUUAAAGGAAUUGACGGAAGGGCACCACCAGGCGUGGAGCCUGCGGCUUAAUUUGACUCAACACGGGGAAACUUACCAGGUCCAGACACGGGAAGGAUUGACAGAUUGAGAGCUCUUUCUUGAUUCUGUGGGUGGUGGUGCAUGGCCGUUCUUAGUUGGUGGGUUGCCUUGUCAGGUUGAUUCCGGUAACGAACGAGACCUCAGCCUGCUAAAUAGUCACGAUUGCCUUUGGCAGUUGGACGACUUCUUAGAGGGACUAUUGUCGUUUAGGCGAUGGAAGUAUGAGGCGAUAACAGGUCUGUGAUGCCCUUAGAUGUUCUGGGCCGCACGCGCGCUACACUGACGCAUUCAACGAGCCUAUCCUUGGCCGAGAGGCCCGGGUAAUCUUUGAAACUGCGUCGUGAUGGGGAUAGAUUAUUGCAAUUAUUAGUCUUCANNNNNNNNNNNNNNNNNNNNNNNNNNNNNNNNNNNNNNNNNNNNNNNNNNNNNNNNNNNNNNNNNNNNNNCCGUCGCUCCUACCGAUUGGGUGUGCUGGUGAAGUGUUCGGAUCGGCUUCAGGGGAUGGCAACAUUUCCUGUCGCUGAAAAGUUCAUUAAACCCUCCCACCUAGAGGAAGGAGAAGUCGUAACAAGGUUUCCGUUAAACAAUCGCCUAGCGGAAGUCGUCCUGAAAGGGAUGGCUAGUCGGCCGAGCUCGUUCAUGGUGAGAGCUCGAGGCACGGCAACACUAUCGAAUUGCGGGAAAGUCCUUAGAGCCUUUGCUACCAAGCUGCCUUGGAAACAAGGCGGUGGCCAGGUUAAUAGCCUCGGGUAUGGUAAAAAUGCAAAGGAUUGGGCAAUCCGCAGCCAAGCUCCUAAGUGC